AUUGAACGCUGGCGGCAGGCCUAACACAUGCAAGUCGAGCGGAUGAAGGGAGCUUGCUCCUGGAUUCAGCGGCGGACGGGUGAGUAAUGCCUAGGAAUCUGCCUGGUAGUGGGGGAUAACGUCCGGAAGCGGGCGCUAAUACCGCAUACGUCCUGAGGGAGAAAGUGGGGGAUCUUCGGACCUCACGCUAUCAGAUGAGCCUAGGUCGGAUUAGCUAGUUGGUGGGGUAAAGGCCUACCAAGGCGACGAUCCGUAACUGGUCUGAGGGGAUGAUCAGUCACACUGGAACUGAGACACGGUCCAGACUCCUACGGGAGGCAGCAGUGGGGAAUAUUGGACAAUGGGCGAAAGCCUGAUCCAGCCAUGCCGCGUGUGUGAAGAAGGUCUUCGGAUUGUAAAGCACUUUAAGUUGGGAGGAAGGGCAGUAAGUUAAUACCUUGCUGUUUUGACGUUACCAACAGAAUAAGCACCGGCUAACUUCGUG
rnacentral:rRNA from 1 species